UCAGGAAUGGGAUCCACUGGUGGAGUCAUGUCUUGGAAUGAAGGAGCAUGGAGACUAAAUUCCCCUGUCCACGAGGAGGGGCUGGUCUUCGAUACAAGGCUAGGGAGUGGACCCUGUGGGAAUGCUGUGGCCCCAGUUCGCAAUCAAGAGACGAUCCCAUGACGUGCAUCGUGUCAGAGGUGUGCACAGCAAAGAAAAGACUCUGACUACCACUGACAGAACAAGUCCUCCGAGGCCCGUUCAAAGUUGGAAUUCGCAACUUCCUCCUCAACUGGGCAUCAGCCGGCUCCGGAUGGGGACUCUAUCCAGAGGCAGUCAAGUUGCUGUGGAAAGGCUGUCUUGAGCUUAGUGGUCUAGUUUAAAACAAAGCUGAGGGUGUCUGGGAUUUGAAGACGCAGCCUCUCAUGAUCUCCCACCCUGUGUGAUUACUGCCCCGGAGCGGAUCCAGACAAGCGGAGGCGGAGUGCUCCAUCCAGGGCU